GACGAACGCUGGCGGCGUGCUUAACACAUGCAAGUCGAACGCUGAAGACCUGGCUUUUGUUGGGUUGGAUGAGUGGCGAACGGGUGAGUAACACGUGAGUAACCUGCCCUCUUCUUUGGGAUAACGCCCGGAAACGGGUGCUAAUACUGGAUAUUCACUGAUCUUCUCAUGGGGGUUGGUGGUAAGGUUUGUUCUGGUGGGGGAUGGGCUCGCGGCCUAUCAGCUUGUUGGUGGGGUGAUGGCCUACCAAGGCUUUGACGGGUAGCCGGCCUGAGAGGGUGACCGGUCACAUUGGGACUGAGUUAAGGCCCAGAGUCCUACGGGAGGCAGCAGUGGGGAAUAUUGCACAAUGGGCGAAAGCCUGAUGCAGCGACGCCGCGUGAGGGAUGGAGGCCUUCGGGUUGUAAACCUCUUUCGCUCAUGGUCAAGCCGCAACUGUGGGUUGUGGUGAGGGUAGUGGGUAAAGAAGCGCCGGCUAACUACGUG
rnacentral:rRNA from 1 species